UAUCAAUANGCGGAGGAAAAGAAACCAACAGGGAUUGCCCUAGUAACGGCGAGUGAAGCGGCAACAGCUCAAAUUUGAAAUCUGGCCUUCGGGUCCGAGUUGUAAUUUGUAGAGGAUGCUUUUGGUGAGGUGCCUUCCGAGUUCCCUGGAACGGGACGCCAUAGAGGGUGAGAGCCCCGUCUGGUUGGACACCGAUCCUCUGUAAAGCUCCUUCAACGAGUCGAGUAGUUUGGGAAUGCUGCUCUAAAUGGGAGGUAUAUGUCUUCUAAAGCUAAAUAUUGGCCAGAGACCGAUAGCGCACAAGUAGAGUGAUCGAAAGAUGAAAAGCACUUUGAAAAGAGAGUUAAAAAGUACGUGAAAUUGUUGAAAGGGAAGCGCUCAUGACCAGACUUGGGCUUGGUUGAUCAUCCAGGGUUCUCCCUGGUGCACUCUUCCAGUUCAGGCCAGCAUCAGUUCGCUGCGGGGGAUAAAGGCUUUGGGAAUGUGGCUCCUUCGGGAGUGUUAUAGCCCAUUGUGUAAUACCCUGUGGUGGACUGAGGACCGCGCUUUUGCAAGGAUGCUGGCGUAAUGGUCAUCAGUGACCCGUCUUGAAACACGGACCAAGGAGUCGUCUUCGUAUGCGAGUGUUCGGGUGUUAAACCCCUACGCGUAAUGAAAGUGAACGCAGGUGAGAGCUUCGGCGCAUCAUCGACCGAUCCUGAUGUUCUCGGAUGGAUUUGAGUAAGAGCAUACGGGGCCGGACCCGAAAGAAGGUGAACUAUGCCUGUAUAGGGUGAAGCCAGAGGAAACUCUGGUGGAGGCUCGCAGCGGUUCUGACGUGCAAAUCGAUCGUCAAAUAUGGGCAUGGGGGCGAAAGACUAAUCGAACCUUCUAGUAGCUGGUUUCCGCCGAA
rnacentral:rRNA from 1 species